UACGGAGGGUGCGAGCGUUGUCCGGAAUCACUGGGCGUAAAGGGCGCGUAGGCGGCCCGCUAAGUCGAACGUGAAAUCCCUGGGCUCAACCCAGGAACUGCGUCCGAUACUGGCAGGCUUGAAUCCGGGAGAGGGAUGUGGAAUUCCAGGUGUAGCGGUGAAAUGCGUAGAUAUCUGGAGGAACACCGGUGGCGAAGGCGGCAUCCUGGACCGGUAUUGACGCUGAUGCGCGAAAGCCAGGGGAGCAAACGGG
rnacentral:rRNA from 1 species